UGUGGCCAAGCUACUAAGAGCGUAUGGGGGAUGUCUUGGCGUUAGGAGCCGAUGAAGGGCGUGGAAGUCUGCGAAAAGCCUGGGGAAGCUGACAAACGAGCGUUGAUCCCGGGGUUCCCGAAUUGUCGCACGCUGAAUCCAUAGGCGUGCGUCGGCAACGCGGCGAACUGAAACAUCUUAGUAACCGCUGGAAAAGAAAGAAAAAUCGAUUUCCUUAGUAGCGGCGAGCGAAACGGAAACAGCCCAAACCGCGGGGAUUUUCCCUGCGGGGUUGUAGGGCCUUCCACAUGGGAGUUACAAAGCAGCCUGGUAGCCGAACUGCACUGGAAAGGCAGGCCAUAGAGGGUGACAGCCCUGUAGGCGAAAUCAGUGUUGCCUCCCGGAGGGUACCUGAGUAGGUCGGGUCACGUGAAACCCCGACUGAAUCUACGGGGACCAUCCCGUAAGGCUAAAUACUCCCUAACGACCGAUAGUGAACCAAGUAGGGCGACUGAAAGGUGAAAAGAACCCCUGCUAGGGGAGGGAUAAGAACCUGAAACCAUGCGCUUACAAGCGGUCGGAGGACUAUGCCCGCAAGGGAAUGUCUGACGGCGUGCCUUUUGCAUAAUGAUCAGGCGAGUUACCGUUUGCGGCUCGGUUAAGACC
rnacentral:rRNA from 1 species